rnacentral:rRNA from 1 species
UACCAGCACCCCGAGUGGUCGGGACGAUUAUUGGGCCUAAAGCAUCCGUAGCCGGUCCUGCAAGUCUUCCGUUAAAUCCAGCUGCUCAACAGAUGGGCUGCGGGAGAUACUACAGGGCUAGGAGGCGGGAGAGGCAAGCGGUACUUUAUGGGUAGGGGUAAAAUCCGCUGAUCCAUAGAAGACCACCAGUGGCGAAGGCGGCUUGCCAGAACGCGCUCGA